CGGUAAUUCCAGCUCCAAUAGCGUAUAUUAAAGUUGUUGCAGUUAAAAAGCUCGUAGUUGGAUUUCUGGUCGGGGUCAACGGUGCGCACUCGCGCGCCUGCGUCCUCUGCCAUCCUUCUGUUAAGCCCGUAUAGCAUUCAUUUGUUGACGGGUGGCUCAGAUAUUUUACCUUGAGAAAAUUAGAGUGUUUCAGGCAGGCUAGCGCCGGGAUACAUUAGCAUGGAAUAAUGGAACAGGACUUUAACCUCUUCUGUUGGUCUGAGGGGUUAGAGUAAUGAUUAAUAGGGAUAGUUGGGGGCAUUAGUACUUAACUGUCAGAGGUGAAAUUCUCGGAUUUGUUAAAGACUAACUUAUGCGAAAGCAUUUGCCGAAGAUGUUUUCAUUAAUCAAGAACGAAAGUUAGGGGAUCGAAGACGAUCAGAUACCGUCCUAGUCUUAACCAUAAACUAUGCCGACUCGGGAUCGGGGGCAGCAUCAUCCGCCUUCGGCACCGUAUGAGAAAUCAAAGUCUUUGGUUCUGGGGGGAGUAUGGUCGCAAGGCUGAAACUUAAAGGAAUUGACGGAAGGGCACCACCAGGCGUGGAGCUUGCGGCUCAAUUUGACUCAACACGGGGAAACUUACCAGGUCCAGACACAGUGAGGAUUGACAGAUUGAUAGCUCUUUCUUGAUUCUGUGGGUGGUGGUGCAUGGCCGUUCUUAGUUGGUGGAGUGAUUUGUCUGGUUAAUUCCGUUAACGAACGAGACCUUAGCCUACUAAAUAGUCGCACCAAUUUACAUUGGCCGCGUACUUCUUAGAGGGACUUUGUACAUUAAGUACAAGGAAGUUUGAGGCAAUAACAGGUCUGUGAUGCCCUUAGAUGUCCUGGGCCGCACGCGUGCUACACUGACACAUACAGCGAGUUUUCCAGCUCCGCGAGGCAGCUGGCAAUCAGCAAUAUGUGUCGUGAUGGGGAUAGAUCUUUGGAAUUUUUGAUCUUGAACGAGGAAUGCCUAGUAAGCGCAAGUCAUCAGCUUGCGUUGAUUAAGUCCCUGCCCCUUGUACACACCGCCC
rnacentral:rRNA from 1 species